ensembl:lncRNA
GUUUAAUUAUUAUUUUUUUUUUUUUUUUUUUGCUCAAAUUUGUUAAUAUAUUGAUUUGAAUAUGGUCGUAAAAAAAUCUUUUAUGAAAUAAUGUUUUUGAAACUUCAUCAGGCAUGUUUUAUAAAAAAAAUUGUUAAUUGCCUAGUGUUAUCCUCAAAAGAAAGUGAUCUCAAAUCUAGAUUGAGUACAUUUUGUUUGAAAAAAGGAUCAGGUAUUAUAUAUACACAAGAUGAAAAUAAUGUAGCUAACAGUGGGAAAAAAGAAAUUAGGACUGGGUCAGAUAAUUUAUUGGAAAAAAUUAAAAAAGCUGACAUGAAGUUGUUACAAAAGUUGCAAAAAGAAGAAGGGAAUUACGAACAAUAUGAAGUAAGACAUGUAGAAAGUAAAAAUAUGGAAAAAAUAAAAGAAGAGAGUGGAUAUAAAGAUAUUAACGAUAAUAUUGGAACUGAUCCUAUCACUACUACUAGUACUAUCACUACUACCAGUACUAUCACUACUACUAGUACUACCACUCUCAACGGUAAAAACAGUAGCAACCGUAAUAUAGCCAAUAUGAAUGAAGAAAAUGAAAACGAAGACGAUUGUCAAGACAUAGAAAAUAAUGUUCCGCAAAAAUAUAAAUUUAUAUUCGAACGCCCUAAAGAUAUUUCACACGUAGAUGAUGAACCAAUAUUAAGAAGACCAGGAUGUAUAAUUGAAAUAAAAACAUUAAUGAAAAACAAUUGGUCUUUUCCUGCUGUUGGUUUUAAUAGUAAAUUAGAGAUUCCUAUAUAUAAGUUUGAAAGUGAUAUUAAUAAUAAUAAUAUAAAAUAUGUUCUUGUACCAAAUGAUAUAUUUGGUUUACCAAUAAGAUCAGAUAUUUUACACAAGUGUUAUUAUUUUUAUAGAACUGCUUUAGCUGGUUAUACCGAAAGAAUGCAAUUAUAUAAAUGGGAGUGGCCAGGUAGUACUAAAAAAUAUAGAAGUCAAAAAAAAAGUGGUAAGGCAAGAAUGAAUUGGAGAAAAACAUGUGGUAGAUACUUAGGUGUUAAAAAUCAUCCUAUAAGACCAUUUGACCAUCGAACAAAAAUAAAUAGAAAAUUAUUAUGGCUUGGUACAAAAAUAUUAUUAUCGGCUAAAUUUGCUCAAGAUCAAAUAAAAGUAGUUGACAGUUUUUUAAUUAAAUCGCAUAAAACUAAAUACACAGUUAAAUAUUUAAGAAAUAUAUUAGGAAAGAAUUGUAAUAGUGCUUUAUUAGUACAUGAAGGUAAAACAGAUGUAAAUGAUAAUUUUCGAUGGGCCUGUGCAAAUAUAGCGAGUAUAAAAAGAGAAAAUGUAGAAAGUGUAAAUAUAUAUAAUUUACUUAAAUAUAGAUAUGUCGUUUUUACAUAUAAAGCAUUAAAAAAUAUGAUUUACGAAUUAAAAACUUAUCCAUAUAAAAUGAAGUGGUUACCUAGUUAUGCAACUCCAAAUAAUACAAAAGCACCUGUACCACGUAAGGUAAAAAAUUGGAACAUUUUAUGGCUAGAAAAAAAAAAAAAAAAUCAUUUCUCUUUUUUCGAUAAAAAUGAAUUAAAAAAAAGAAUAAAUGAAUGGAAAUGGUCUAGUGAAUUAAAAGGGGCAUUAAAAGUUAAAAAACAUGACCCUUAUAAAAAGUUUAUAUUGACUAAAUUUCAAUGUAAUGAUCCAUUACCUGAAUGUAUUACAUAUGAAUAUUUAUUUAAUUCGAAUGAUGAAUUUGACCAUUCAGACAACUAUGAGCAAAAUAUGUCUAUAAUCGAAGAAAUAUUGAAUGAUGAUGAAUGUGUAGACGACUUAUCUAUGAUUUCGUCUG